rnacentral:rRNA from 1 species
GGAAGGUUAAGUGAUGGGGUGCAAGCUCUUGAUCGAAGCCCCGGUAAACGGCGGCCGUAACAAUAACGGUCCUAAGGUAGCGAAAAUUCCUUGUCGGGUAAGUUCCGACCUGCACGAAUGGCGUAACGAUGGCCACACUGUCUCCUCCCUGAGACUCAGCGAAGUUGAAAAUGGUUGUGAAGAUGCAAUCUCCCCCGCGGUUAGACGGAAAGACCCCAUGAACCUUUACUGUAGCUUUGCAUUGGACUUUGAACCGACUUGUGUAGGAUAGGUGGGAGGCAGUGAAGCCGGGACGCUAGUUCUGGUGGAGCCAACCUUGAAAUACCACCCUGGUUUGUUUGAGGUUCUAACCACGGCCCCGUGAAUCCGGGUCUGGGACCGUGCAUGGUAGGCAGUUUGACUGGGGCGGUCUCCUCCUAAAGUGUAACGGAGGAGUACGAAGGUACGCUAGGUACGGUCGGACAUCGUGCUAAUAGUGCAAUGGCA